rnacentral:rRNA from 1 species
AGAAUCGACGCUGGCGGCGUGCCUAACACAUGCAAGUCGAACGAGAAAGUGGAGCAAUCCAUGAGUAAAGUGGCGACCGGGUGAGUAACACGUGACUAACCUACCUUCGAGUGGGGGAUAACCUCGGGAAACCGAGGCUAAUACCGCAUAACAUCGUGAGAUCAAAGCAGUAAUGCGCUGGAAGAGGGGGUCGCGGCUGAUUAGCUAGUUGGCGGGGUAAUGGCCCACCAAGGCGAAGAUCGGUA